AACGCGAAGAACCUUACCUGGGCUCGAACGGCUUAAGAUCAUCCUUGGAAACAGGGACUUCUCGCAAGAGACUUGAGUCGAGGUGCUGCAUGGCUGUCGUCAGCUCGUGUCGUGAGAUGUUGGGUUAAGUCCCGCAACGAGCGCAACCCUUGUCCUGUGUUGCCACUCCCGCAAGGGAAGCACUCUCAGGAGACCGCCAGCGAUAAGCUGGAGGAAGGUGGGGAUGAUGUCAAGUCAUCAUGGCCUUUAUGUCCAGGGCUACACACGUGCUACAAUGGGCGGUACAAAGCGCUGCAAACCCGCGAGGGGGAGCCAAUCGCAAAAAACCGUUCUCAGUUCGGAUCGCAGGCUGCAACUCGCCUGCGUGAAGCUGGAAUCGCUAGUAAUGGCGUAUCAGAAUGAUGCCGUGAAUACGUUCCCGGGCCUUGUACACACCGCAUAC
rnacentral:rRNA from 1 species